rnacentral:rRNA from 1 species
AGUUUUGAUCUUGGUUCAGAUUGAACGCUGGCGGCAGGCCUAACACAUGCAAGUCGAACGGCAGCACAGAAGAGCUUGCUCUUUGGGUGGCGAGUGGCGGACGGGUGAGUAAUGUCUGGGAAACUGCCCGAUGGAGGGGGAUAACUACUGGAAACGGUAGCUAAUACCGCAUAACGUCGCAAGACCAAAGUGGGGGACCUUCGGGCCUCACACCAUCGGAUGUGCCCAGAUGGGAUUAGCUAGUAGGUGGGGUAACGGCUCACCUAGGCGACGAUCCCUAGCUGGUCUGAGAGGAUGACCAGCCACACUGGAACUGAGACACGGUCCAGACUCCUACGGGAGGCAGCAGUGGGGAAUAUUGCACAAUGGGCGCAAGCCUGAUGCAGCCAUGCCGCGUGUAUGAAGAAGGCCUUCGGGUUGUAAAGUACUUUCAGCGGGGAGGAAGGCGAUGCGGUUAAUAACCGGGUCGAUUGACGUUACCCGCAGAAGAAGCACCGGC